UUCCUAAUUUUAAUAGUAAACUGACACUAUACUUUGAAUUCAUGAUGAAAUGCUAAAAAUGUGUACUCUUCUUUUCUGCCAGUACUCGGCUGACGGAGUUUUUGGCCGUUCUGUGGUGUGUAAUGCAAUCAGCAUGGAAGCAUCGUUGGUCGUUGUGGAUUUUGAGUAAGAUUUCUCACCCUCUGCUCAUGAUGGUGGUGACCAGCUCAGCUGUGUUGGAUGGUAUCGUGGCCAUUGAGGCUCUGCUCACCUGGAUCAACGACAUGGCAGGUGCUCUCGAGGAUCCCCAGGAGAACCGAGAUGGUUCCAGAGUCAGAGAGAAACACCUGCAGAGUGACCUGCUUCAGGAUGAGCUGCUGGGGGAACUAGACGGCCGGGAAAGAGAAGAACUCAUUGCAUGGAUCAGUGCCACGGAGCCACAAAGCCCCGAUGUCUCCAGCAGCCCUGCCCCUCCUUGCUUCAUCGCCCAGCUCCCUGACUUCCCCCAGCACAGCAGGGAGCUCAACGAGGAAGCACGGGCUGCCACCAGGACCCCCAGCGACCCAUUCUGGGGGACCCGCCGCCAUCCCUUGGGCAGCUCCAAGUGCCCCCGACACGUGAGCUGAGGCUGCAGCAGUGCAGCACAGAGCAGGACAAUCUCUUGCUUUGCCUGGAUGGCAGAGCAGGACCUGAUUCACCCAGGGCACUGCGGCCCUUUGGCUUCCAGGGCACACUGCUGACUCACGUUCAACUUGCCAGCGACCAGAACCCUCAGAUCCCUUUCCUCAGUGUCAUUUGCGUUUAUUGUUCUUGAGGUCAAUGCUUUUCAUUCCUUUCAGUUCUACUGAGGAGGGGAUCUGCUUUGUUUCUAUGUUCAGUGCAUCGGUGUGCGUCUGAACGUAGGCCACUGCAGUCUCUCAGCAUCUGCUUAA
rnacentral:lncRNA from 1 species